GCCUCCGUGGCGUAGUUGGGAGCGUGAUGGCUCCGGAAAAGCCAGAGGUCGCAGGUUCGAGUCCUGCCGGAGGACCA